GGGAGCGAUGGUUGGUGGUUUUAAAUUUGUAGUAGAGCAAUAGACCUAACAAAAAGAAAGAGGCGUGGGGGCACUAAGGUUGUCGCUCAAAAGGCAAGGGCGCGGCAGCCCAAGAAAGUUUGUGGACCACUGAUUUAGAGAAUGCGAAGUUAGAGCUGAACCCGUGUCCCUCAUUUCCAGUAGGAUCCUCCACAUAUUUGCUUGGCGAUUAUCCCUGCUGAGCUCGGUGGGGCCCUUUCCCAACCAAGGGCAGCUCUACACGCGAGCAAAUCCCAUCAAACUAGAGCCAGUACAGCCAGGAGUGUCCAUAUCUCCGGUCUGUAGAAGGGGCAAAAAAGCAGGAAGUAAUACAGUAACGACCAUCUCCUUUCAAGAAGAGGGGUGAAUUUAAUCUCCGCUUUGCAACUUCGGAGCGACAUCGCAGUAGGGCGUGUUUCCGAAAUCCAUCCCUUGGCGAAGACAGCGUAAUGCUGCCCAAAAGGACGAACUGAUGUCCUAAGAUAGCAAAAAGGGGCAGACCUACGAUAAGAUAUCGAAGUAUCCCACCCGCGAGGCUUAAAGCCUGCCCGCGGGUGGUUUUGCAAGCCCAGGAUGGCAUGGCGCUAGCUUUUCGGACUUUCUUCGGGAUAACAUUAUGUGUCUGGAGUUUUUGAGGUCCCGCAAGGCAUGGAAACUUGUGGCAGCUUUACUGGGACUAAUAAUGAAAGUGGCCUUGGGGGCUUUCUUUGUCAACGUGGAUCUCUCACAGACUGAAAGAGAACUAAAACACUUCUGGAAAAGCACAGGAUUUUGCCCUCCUUUGCCACACAGUCAAGCAGAUUUAUUUGAUCUCAGUCAAGACCAAAGAAUUAAUUUGGCCUACAUUUCCUCUGUGCCGCAUAAUGGCAUUGAGCAAAUUCGAAUCCAUUGGCUACUGGAGCUUAUUGAAGUUGGAGUGUCAAAUGGAACACUGCAGUACAAUUUCACCAGCUUGGAUAACUUCAUGGCUCUUCUCUGGGAAAAUAAGCUACAGCCAGGAUUUGAAUUGAUGGGAAGUCCUUCAGGAUACUUCACAGACUUUGAAGAUAAAAAACAGGUGAUCGAGUGGAAGAACCUGAUUACCCAGUUGGCCAAGAGAUACAUAGAAUGGUACGGAUUGGAACAUGUUUCUAAAUGGAACUUUGAGACUUGGAAUGAGCCUGACCACCAUGACUUUGACAAUGUGACCAUGACAAUUGAUGGGUUUCUCAACUACUAUGAUGCUUGUUCAGAAGGGUUAAGACAAGCUAGUUCUCAGCUGAAACUGGGAGGCCCUGGAGACUCCUUCCACCCUUUUCCAAAGUCCCCCAUGUGCUGGAGCCUCCUCAGCCACUGCUACAAUGGAACCAAUUUCUUCACUGGAGAGACAGGUGUCCGGCUGGAUUACAUUGCCAUGCACAAGAAGGGAGCUGGGAGUUCACUGCACAUCCUAGAACAGGAGAUUGAGGCUGUGGGACAGAUCCAGAAGCUCUUUCCCAGUUUUGCCUCCAUGCCCAUUUACAAUGACGAGGCAGACCCGCUGGUGGGGUGGUCGGUGCCACAGCCGUGGAGAGCGGACGUGACCUACGCAGCUAUGGUGGUGAAGGUUAUUGUCCAACAUCAAAAUCUACUGCUUGCACGAGCCAACAACACGAUCAACUACACUUUGCUGAGCAAUGACAAUGCAUUCAUGAGCUACCACCCCUAUUUCUUCACUCAAAGGACGCUGACGGCACGCUUUCAGAUGAACAACACAAAGCCCCCGCAUGUCCAGAUGGUGCGGAAGCCGGUGCUCACAGUGAUGGGCUUGCUGGCUCUGCUAGGGGAGGAGCAAGUUUCUGCCAACAUCUACAGCCAUGAAUCAGAAGACACUAACACUCUUGGGGUACUAGCCAGCCUGCACAAACCUGCCAUGCCAUGGCUGGCUGAUAGCUGGCAGGCAUCCAUUUUGAUCUAUUCCAGCAACGAUAACCAGACAUCCUCAAACAUCAGUGCCGUGGCAGUCAACGUUACCGGCUUCCCCAAACGAAAAGAGAUUGUGUAUGUACUGUACUACUUGGAUAACUACGUGACCAACCCAUAUUUGCAGUGGAAGAAACUGGGAGCUCCAGAUUUUCCAUCUCUGGCCCAAUUUGAACAGAUGAGAAAUGCUGAGAAGUGGUGUCUCCUCAGAGCAGAAGUUCAACAGAAGUUCAUCCAUCAGAUGAUCUCCCUCACAGUUUCCUCACAUGUUCAGCUGGAUGCUGUUGCACUGGUCCUUUACCUCCCCGAAUUUGCACUCCAUGCUUACGGAACAUGAGUUCUGGCCCAUUGGAUAAGACCAAGGGCUCCACCAAGCCCAACAUUCACUUCCCAUUGGAUGCCUCUGGGAGCUUCUAAGCUGGAGAGAACACCAAAAGCUGCUUUUCUGUCAUGCCCUGGUUUUAAAACCCUCUUAUUAGCUCAGGGUCCCCAACCUUUUCAGAGAAUGUUAUGGGAGCUCUCACAAAAUGGCUGCCAUGGGGUGGGGUUUGUCCAUUCAUAAAAUGGCUGCCUCAGUGACUGUGACUAGGAAAUGAGUACUCUGUGACUAAUUUCCUAGAAGAAACAGUUGAGACAAAAAUGUUGAAGUGCUGGCCCAAGAACCAAAGCACAAGGCACAGGUGAGGUCUAAGCUCCAAAACACAAAACCACUCUUUUGUCCCCACCCUUGGAGGGGACAACUUCACUUUGCAGCAUGCCAGCAUACCAAAUUAAUAUAAUAAUUACAAAAAGCUUAAGAAAUAAAAAUCAGGAAGGACAGGUAGCCAAAAGAACUAUCCAGAGGCAUGUUGGUACCAAAAUGUGCCAUGUUGGAAAUCCUAUUACAGAGUAAGCCGGAUUAAAUACACAAGGCUUUAAUUCAAAGUGAAGAUGUUUAGGAUUGCAGCUAGUCUUAUUGUUAUCCUUAGGAAACCUAGAACACUUCUCACAGGAAAUGAGCUCUAAUACUCCCCCAAAGAGCAUGCUUUGCUAUUCUGUCCUUCGAGGUCAUUAGUCUUCCUCUUAGGUGCUGUUUGGGCCUCGAGCAAAGCCAACACUCUGGUCUUUUCCUGCAGCUGUUCAAAACAUCCUCCUCUUCCCCAUUGCCCAUUCCAUUUGCCUGGCUCCUGUCCACCUUUCCUGAAUGAGGCUUUGGGAUUGGAGGGGGGAUGAGCCAGGGUGAGGUUUUGCCCAAGAGGUUAUAGCAGGAGCUCCAUACCCCACUUGCAAUCUCAGGGAUUUCCCCCUCUCCCACCAUAACAGUCUUGUAAACAUUUCUUCAAGCAUUUACGGCAUACUCCCAGGGCAAGACUUGCACCUCCAGACUUGAACUGGCAUAAUACCGAUUCCCUCUCCCCAGGGAACUCUGGGAGCUUUCGCUCCAAGUGAGGACUCUCUUUCAAAGAAUUGCGGCCACCCCCACCAACCGCCAAUCCACAGGAUGCUUUGGGAGAAAGCCACAGCAGUUCAAGGGGUGUACAAGCCUCUAAAAGCAUGUAGGACCAUAGAAAGAUCCCUAAAAUGAGAGGGAUGACCCUCACCACUACCACCUUUUUCUCUCCAUUUCUACUCACCCAUUUCUUAUGCCUCUAGCAUCCAGUUCCUUAAAGCGAUGGCAUUGUUAAGACUCCUCUCAUCCUUUUUAUGCUCUCCAGAUGUUCGCUCCCUGGGAGAGGGACCUUUUCUGUACAGCUGACCCCACUGUAUGCUGAGGAGGCUACGUAAAUAUUUGUACUAAGCUCAUCUUAACAAGCAAACCCCACAGAAAUGCCACCACUUUUGUUUUACUUCUGAGCUGUUCUUGAUGUUCCUCCGUAAGCACAUACCUGAACACUGGGAAGCUGUGUCCCACUGCUAGUCCUUGUAGGAAAGCUGAACCAUGCUCAGUGGGUAUUUUCAUUUUUUAUUAUUUUUUAGCUAAGGGUAAAAUUAUAAGCAAACACAUGGUUCAGAAGAGAAUCGAAGGUUAACCUCUUCUGUGCCUGCAGUUCUCCCAUGGAAACCACUCAUCACUCCAUAGUUAUCAGGCCUACUUCUGGUUCUGGAGAUCCAUUGGGAGGGAAAUUAUUUUUAAAAGCCCACAGGGGCAUUUCUGCAAGCAGGAAGUAUCACUGACAUGUGCCCACCAUUGCUGAAUCAUUGCUGAAAAUGUGCCUCUGAAGAAGGCAUUUUCCAGAAUGCACUGGGCCAACAAAUCUCCCUCCUCUCCAGCCAUCCCAACAUCUGGAGUCUUUUCCUUUCCUUUUCCCGAAAGCACCAAUUAGCCACAAAGCUCAGAUGCUGCCUUUGUGCCAGUCACACUCUGUCUGCCUAACUUAGCAAAUUAUUGUGAAGUUAAAGGAUAGAUUUAUUUAUGCCUUUCUGAACUUGGUAGAAGAUGGGCAGGAUACAGAAGUAAUAAACCCUCUUCAGGAAUUGCAGUCAAGUCAUGCGUGUAAUUGGAAUGUGAGUGAAGAGACUGGUGGACCAACAAAUGCUUCUCACAAGCAUCAUUGUUGGAAAGAACUAAAACCGUAAAUCAAACCACGCCUGCAGGAAAGGUGGGCAAGUUGGUCUCCUGUUUUCAAAGCUAAAGGCUCCUUCUGACAUCACCUUGUUUUUUUGUUUUUUUGAGUGAGGAACUCAGCUGAAAAAUAUAUCAAGAUGCAGAAUCCAGUUGGGUGUAAGUAAUUGUAGGAAUGAUCUCAGUGCAGGAGUCAAGUAUGCUGUAAUCCCAGAUUUCUCUCCCAAACAAGUAUCAUAUUCAAGCGUGCUUUGUGUGUCUUCCUUCCUACACAUCUAUUUCCUAGCAAAGGGAAAAUAAUGCAAGAAAACUGGUUCAGAUCCAGCUUUGCAGAGCUAAAUUCUUUCUGGUUGCCUCGUCCUCCUUCAAAAAGUGCAGAACCAUUAGGCUUCCCCCAUCCAGGCCCUGAUUAGACUGAGAUCGGCUUAACUAUGACAAUGCAGUUGUAUCAUGUAUAGAAACAUAGAAAUAGAGUCAGAGGGGGCCUCCUAGGCCAUCUAGUCUGACCUGCAGCUCUGCUCAUGACAUGCCGAGGUUUCAGCAAGGGGCGGCAUAGAAAUGUUAUAAUAAUAAUAAUAAUAAUAAUAAUGCCUACCAUAUCUUGUGAGCCCAGUCAUAUCUGCAUGCUUAGCAGUAGGAGCUUACUGUGGAAGAGCUGUAGGUCACUGUACAGAAAAGCUGCUUGUUCAACGUGAUUUGAUUGCGUUUUGUAGGACCCUGUGGUGAAAGGGCCAUUUCUGCUUCCUGCAAAAGGCCCUUUGAUGCUGAAACAAGAACUCCCUGUUCCGGCGGUUUUCCUCAUCCAUUUCUGUGCAAAGCCUCUCUCGGCUCCCAGUCAGGUGAAUGGAGUCCGCUUCCUCG